UACAGAGGGUGCGAGCGUUAAUCGGAAUUACUGGGCGUAAAGGGCGCGUAGGCGGCCUGCUAAGUCACACGUGAAAUCCCUCGGCUCAACCGGGGAACUGCGUGUGAUACUGGCGGGCUUGAAUUCGGGAGAGGGAUGUGGAAUUCCAGGUGUAGCGGUGAAAUGCGUAGAUAUCUGGAGGAACACCGGUGGCGAAGGCGGCAUCCUGGACCGAGAUGACGCUGAGGCGCGAAAGCUAGGGGGAGCAAACGGG
rnacentral:rRNA from 1 species